GAAAGCAGAAAAAGAAGAAGAGAGGCGGAAGCAUUCGUAUCAAACUCGAACUGGUAGUCAAAACAUGAAGCAUGAAAUGGAGUUAUCUAGAGCUGAAACAACUAAUCGAUUUAAUCGAUUAUAAUCGAUUAUUAAAAUAGUUAACAACUUUUUUAGUCAUCGGUUAGUUGUUUAAUAAUCAUAUUUUACCGCAUAAAGUCUAUUUUUUACCACAAUCUGACAUCGGUUACAAUCUGUUAAAUUUGCCGCCAGUGUGUGGCAGUAAUGAGCCACUGAUCUACCAGUGGGGACGUAGAAGAAGAAAUUAGCCAAUAAGUGCCCUCGGUUUUCAUGACGUAUCACGUUACUGACGCGCAUCUUGCUGUGAGAGAUGGCGGAUCAACAACAAAUACAGAAGAAAAAUAGAAGCGACAAAACAAGAGAAACCCCGGACAAAAACCUCACGAGUAUGGGAGCACUUCACUAGAUGCCUUGAAAAGACCGGUGACCUACAAAAUAUGCAAAAACCAUGGCACGACGGAAGCACGACGUCCCUAAGUGAACAUUUGAGACGAAAACGUGGGGGCUGAUGCAGCAGAGGAAUGUCCGAAAAAAACAAGCAACGAUGGACAACUACAUGGGGAACAAGACACUCACCCCCAGCAAUUCAUACCACUUACAAACUCUAUUCCAGAUUCUACAUUAUUUUUUAUGGAAUUUACCUCUUAUAUUUUGAUGCCAAAAAGUUAUUCUGGACUGAUAUUUUGCACUGUUUAGCUCAUUUUACACUGCUGACUGUGGUCAUGUGCAAUAAAAUAGAUUGCAGUCAACU